rnacentral:rRNA from 1 species
GAAAAAAAGUCAUCCUUUUGCUUUUAUUGUUUUUUGUUUAAGCAACCAAGAGCUGAAAACUAUGGUAUUGAAGCAUUCACGAGAAAUGGAUUCAAAUCUUGGAAGGAUGGACCUAAAGUUUUUAAUCAGCAUGUUGGCAAGCAUGAUAGUGCUCAUAAUAAAUCUAGGCAACAUUAUGAGGAUUUCAAAAAUCAAAGACAAAAUCUGCCACAUGUGUUUGAUAGGGGUUCUCAGAAGAAAGAAGAAGAAUACAAAGCUCAUCUCUUGAUUGUAUUGGGUAUUGUCAAAUUUUUGACACUACAAGCUCUUGCUUUUCGUGGUCACGAUGAGUCUACUAGCUCAAUUAAUAAGGGUAACUUCAAAGAGUUGUUGGACUUGUUCAUAAAGAAAGACCCAAAGGUUAUCGCACACGUAAAGCUUCUUCUGCUAUUGAAGAUGUGA